rnacentral:rRNA from 1 species
CCUACGGGAGGCUGCAGUGAGGAAUAUUGGUCAAUGGACGAGAGUCUGAACCAGCCAAGUAGCGUGAAGGAUGACUGCCCUAUGGGUUGUAAACUUCUUUUAUAUGGGAAUAAAACGUUCCACGUGUGGGAUUUUGUAUGUACCAUAUGAAUAAGGAUCGGCUAACUCCGUGCCAGCAGCCGCGGUAAUACGGAGGAUCCGAGCGUUAUCCGGAUUUAUUGGGUUUAAAGGGAGCGUAGGUGGAUUGUUAAGUCAGUUGUGAAAGUUUGCGGCUCAACCGUAAAAUUGCAGUUGAAACUGGCAGUCUUGAGUACAGUAGAGGUGGGCGGAAUUCGUGGUGUAGCGGUGAAAUGCUUAGAUAUCACGAAGAACUCCGAUUGCGAAGGCAGUUCACUGGACUGCAACUGACACUGAGGCUCGAAAGUGUGGGUAUCAAACAGGUUUAGAUACCCUAGUAGUC